GACGAUUGACCUCGGAUCAGUAGGGAUACCCGCUGAACUUAAGCAUAUCAAUAAGCGGAGGAAAAGAAACCAACAGGGAUUGCCUCAGUAACGGCGAGUGAAGCGGACAGCCCUCCAAAUAG
rnacentral:rRNA from 1 species